rnacentral:piRNA from 1 species
UACACGUAUACGUGGGAAACCGGUUCAGC